AGAGUUUGAUCCUGGCUCAGGAUGAACGCUGGCGGCGUGCUUAACACAUGCAAGUCGAACGAAGCACUUUAUUUGAUUUCCUUCGGGACUGAUUAUUUUGUGACUGAGUGGCGGACGGGUGAGUAACGCGUGGGUAACCCGCCUUGUACAGGGGGAUAACAGUUGGAAACGGCUGCUAAUACCGCAUAAGCGCACAGCAUCGCAUGAUGCAGUGUGAAAAACUCCGGUGGUAUAAGAUGGACCCGCGUUGGAUUAGCUAGUUGGUGAGGUAACGGCCCACCAAGGCGACGAUCCAUAGCCGACCUGAGAGGGUGACCGGCCACAUUGGGACUGAGACACGGCCCAAACUCCUACGGGAGGCAGCAGUGGGGAAUAUUGCACAAUGGGCGAAAGCCUGAUGCAGCGACGCCGCGUGAGCGAAGAAGUAUUUCGGUAUGUAAAGCUCUAUCAGCAGGGAAGAUAAUGACGGUACCUGACUAAGAAGCACCGGCUAAAUACGUGCCAGCAGCCGCGGUAAUACGUAUGGUGCAAGCGUUAUCCGGAUUUACUGGGUGUAAAGGGAGCGCAGGCGGUGCGGCAAGUCUGAUGUGAAAGCCCGGGGCUCAACCCCGGUACUGCAUUGGAAACUGUCGUACUAGAGUGUCGGAGGGGUAAGCGGAAUUCCCAGUGUAGCGGUGAAAUGCGUAGAGAUUGGGAGGAACACCAGUGGCGAAGGCGACUAACUGGACUGUAACUGACGCUGAGGCGCGAAAGUGUGGGGAGCAAACAGGAUUAGAUACCCUGGUAGUCCACACUGUAAACGAUGAAUGCUAGGUGUAGGGGGUAUCGACCCCUUCUGUGCCGCAGUCAACACAAUAAGCAUUCCGCCUGGGGAGUACGGCCGCAAGGUUGAAACUCAAAGGAAUUGACGGGGGCCCGCACAAGCAGCGGAGCAUGUGGUUUAAUUCGACGCAACGCGAAGAACCUUACCAGGUCUUGACAUCCACUUAAACUUACAGAGAUGUAAGGUGUGCUUGCACAAAGUGAGGCAGGUGGUGCAUGGUUGUCGUCAGCUCGUGUCGUGAGAUGUUGGGUUAAGUCCCGCAACGAGCGCAACCCUUAUCUUCAGUUACUAACGCGUAAAGGUGAGGACUCUGAAGAGACUGCCGGGGACAACUCGGAGGAAGGUGGGGACGACGUCAAAUCAUCAUGCCCCUUAUGACCUGGGCUACACACGUGCUACAAUGGCCACGACAGAGAGAAGCGAAAUCGCAAGGUAGAGCGGAACUCAAAAAAGUGGUCCCAGUUCGGAUUGUGGGCUGCAACCCGCCCACAUGAAGUCGGAGUUGCUAGUAAUCGCGGAUCAGCAUGCCGCGGUGAAUACGUUCCCGGGCCUUGUACACACCGCCCGUCACACCAUGGGAGUUGGGAGUGCCCAAAGCCGGUGAGGCAACCGCAAGGAGCCAGCCGUCUAAGGCAAGACCAAUGACUGGGGUGAAGUCGCAACAAGGUA
rnacentral:rRNA from 1 species